GAUGAACGCUGGCGGCGUGCCUAAUACAUGCAAGUCGAGCGAAUGGAUUGAGAGCUUGCUCUUAUGAAGUUAGCGGCGGACGGGUGAGUAACACGUGGGUAACCUGCCCAUAAGACUGGGAUAACUCCGGGAAACCGGGGCUAAUACCGGAUAACAUUUUGAACCGCAUGGUUCGAAAUUGAAAGGCGGCUUCGGCUGCCACUUAUGGAUGGACCCGCGUCGCAUUAGCUAGUUGGUGAGGUAACGGCUCACCAAGGCAACGAUGCGCAGCCGACCUGAGAGGGUGAUCGGCCACACUGGGAAUGAGACACGGCCCAGACUCCUGCGGGAGGCAGCAGUAGGGCAUCUUCCGCAAUGGACGAAAGUCUGACGGAGCAACGCCGCGUGAGUGAUGAAGGCUUUCGGGUCGUAAAACUCUGUUGUUAGGGAAGAACAAGUGCUAGUUGAAUAAGCUGGCACCUUGACGGUACCUAACCAGAAAGCCACGGCUAACUACGUGCCAGCCGCCGCCGUAA
rnacentral:rRNA from 1 species